CUGCAGCCCGAGUGGUGAUCGAUUUUAUUGAGCCUAAAGCGUCCGUAGCCGGACUAGUAAACCCUUGGGUAAAUUGGGCAGCUUAACUGUCCAAAUUCCGAGGGGACUGCUAGUCUUGGGACCGGGAGAGGUCAGAGGUACUCCAGGGGUAGGGGCUAAAUCCUGUAAUCCUUGGGGGACCACCAGUGGCGAAGGCGUCUGACUAGAACGGAUCCGACGGUAAGGGACGAAACCCUGGGGCGCGAACCGGAUUAGAUACCCCAGUAGUCC
rnacentral:rRNA from 1 species